rnacentral:rRNA from 1 species
AUUGAACGCUGGCGGCAGGCCUAACACAUGCAAGUCGAACGAGUGGCGGACGGGUGAGUAAUGUCUGGGAAACUGCCCGAUGGAGGGGGGUAACUUGUGGAAACGGUAGCUAAUACCGCAUAACAUCCGAUGUGCCCAGAUGGGAUGAGCUAGUAGGUGGGGUAACGGCUCACCAAGGCGACGAUCCCUAGCUGGUCUGAGAGGAUGACCAGCCACACUGGAACUGAGACACGGUCCAGACUCCUACGGGAGGCAGCAGUGGGGAAUAUUGCACAAUGGGCGCAAGCCUGAUGCAGCCAUGCCGCGUGUAUGAAGAAGGCCUUCGGGUUGUAAAGUACUUUCAGUCGGGAGGCGUUACCCGCAGAAGAAGCACCGGCUAACUCCGUGCCAGCAGCCGCGGUAAUAC